rnacentral:rRNA from 1 species
GACGAACGCUGGCGGCGUGCUUAACACAUGCAAGUCGAACGGAAAGGCCCUGCUUUUGUGGGGUGCUCGAGUGGCGAACGGGUGAGUAACACGUGAGUAACCUGCCCUUGACUUUGGGAUAACUUCAGGAAACUGGGGCUAAUACCGGAUAGGAGCUCCUGCUGCAUGGUGGGGGUUGGAAAGUUUCGGCGGUUGGGGAUGGACUCGCGGCUUAUCAGCUUGUUGGUGGGGUAGUGGCUUACCAAGGCUUUGACGGGUAGCCGGCCUGAGAGGGUGACCGGCCACAUUGGGACUGAGGUACGGCCCAGACUCCAACGGUGGGCAGCAGUGGGGAAUAUUGCACAAUGGGCGGAAGCCUGAUGCAGCAACGCCGCGUGCGGAAUGACGGCCUUCGGGGUGUAAACCGCUUUCGCCUGUGACGAAGCGGGAGUGACGGUAAUGGGUAAAGAAGCACCGGCUAACUACGUG